GUGUAGGCUGGUGGCUACAGCUCCAAUUCAACCCCUGGCCUGGGAACCUAUAUGCCAUGGGUGCAGCUGUAAAAAGACACACACACACAAAAAAAAGAAAAAACAACUGAUUGUGAUGUUUGCAAAUAUCUCUGGGUUCAAUACUCCCAUUGUGACUCACUUUAAGCUUCCACCAGAGGAUGGAACAGAACAGAAUUGGAAAGAGGUGUAUACUAUCAAAUUAUAAUAUUUCUACAAUGUGGACACAAUAGACGUAACCAUAAAAACAGAGAUAAUAAAAUGUAGUAAGAUGACUAGGAAAUGAGUUUUGAGUAUUUAAUAUGCAGUCACACAUUGGAUUUUAUUACACCUGUUUAUAUAAUUAAUUUCUAGUAAUAGCCAUGUUUAACAAUAAGCCUAUAAAAUUCCUAAAAAUUUUAAAAUUGGCACUUGCAAGGCAGCAUAAGCCAGCUCUAGCAUACUACUGACUACUCUUUUGGUUUUGGAAGUAACUUAGGGACUAGCCAAUAUGAGUUGAGGUGGUUAAUGAUAAACAAAAACAAAAACAAAUUUAAUACUCAGGUUUACAUAGUCAACCCUUAAAUUCCACCAUCUCAUAAAGUAAAAUCCUUCAUGCCUUUUUCAUAUUCCUCAAUGUAUAUGUUACCUUCUUAUGACGUUGUUACUUUUUAAAAUCUUUUAAGGCUGCUGUAUAUGUUUAAUAUGUUGCCUGUAAAUAAAUACUGACAAAAGGAACCCAACAAGCAAUGUGGGAAAGAAAUAUAGACAUUUCUUCAAAGAAGGUAUAUGGAUGGCAAAGCACGUGGAAGGAUGCUCAACAUCAUUAGUCAUCAGGAAAAUGCAAGUAAGCACAAUGAGAUACUACCAUAUAUCUAUUAGAAUAGGUAAGACUGAAAAGACUAAUCAUAACAAAUCAGGAGGAACUGGAGUUCUCAUAUACAGCUGGUAGGAAUGUAAAAAGGUACAACUACAUGGGAAAAGAGUUUGGCAGUUUCUUAAAAAGUUAAACAUAUGCCUAUGAUCCAGCAAUUCCACUUCUAGCUAUUUACUCAAGAGAAAUGAAGGCAUAUGUCCAUAUAAGGACUUGUACAGGAAUGUUCACAGCAGCUGUAUUUGUAGUAAGACAAAAAGUGGAAAGAAUCCAAAUGUCCACUGACAGGUGAAUGGAUAAAAAAAGUUGUGGCAUAUCCAUAAAAUGGAAUACUACUCAGCAAAUAAAAGAAAAUGAACUAUUGAGAGACAUAUAUAAAUCUCAAAACAAUUAUGCUGCAAAAAGCCAGCCAAGAAAAUAGGGCUUACUGUAUGAUCCUAUAUAAAUAAAAUUCUAGACAAUACAAACUAAUCUGUAGUAGCAGAAAACAGAUCAGUUUCCUAUGAAUGCGGGGAGAGAGGGAUAGGAGGAACCAGAAAGAGUUUACAAAGGAGAACAAGGAUACUUGUGGUGAUGGAUACAUUCAUAAUCUUGAUUUUGGUGACAGUCUAUUUGUAUACUUCAUGUGCAGCUUGUGUGUCAAUUAUAUUUCAGUCAAGCUGUUAAAAAAAUCUACUGUGGUAUGACCAGCAGAGAAAAGUAAAAAGCAUCUGCUUUGUUGUGGACAACUCAGUUAUAUCUUUCAGGGUAAAACUGUAGAGGUUCUUUGGGCUGAGAUGUCAGGACACUGAAACCCUGUUGUCUUUAUCACAUGUCUACUCUUCAGCCAGAUUUUCUUCAUCUGAGUGCCUGUCUUUACAUUUAUCCUUAAUAUAGUUCAUAUUAUUUAUUUUACAUGUUAUUUAUUUCACUAGUAUUCUUAUAAUGAGGAUUCAGUCUUAAUACUCAGUAGACCUUUGGUUUUUCAGACUGUUUAAUGAACACUAGGGAUACCCACAGAACCAUCUGAGUAUCCUGAGUGGAAGUAGGGAUUGAAGAUGGAAGGAAAGUGAUAAAGAAUCUGAAUGGGCAAGGCUUCAGCUUCCAACCCAAGCAGCUUCUUAGUUUUAAAGACUUAGGGACUCCUGGGGGAAAAACAAAGUAUGAAAACCAUGUAAAUUUUAUCUACAAGCCAAACUCAGAGCUUGAUGCAUAGCAGGUGCUCAAUAAAUAUCUGCUAAAUGAAUCCUGAUUAUAUAUAAAGUGCCUCUCAUUUCUUCCUGCACUCCCUCUCUUUCUCAUUUGGUACUAAAACUUUUAUUCUGUUAUUUGAGUUUCUUGAGAUGGGAACAUGCAAUUUUUAGAAGAGCUAUUGAUUUUACACUAAAAAAAUUGACCAGUGUACUAAAGUGUACUUUUUUCUUUUCUUUUCUUUUGCCACACUUGUGUCAUGUGGAAGUUCCUGGGCCAGGGAUGGAAGCAUACCACAGCAGCAAUUCGAACCUCUGCAAUGAUAAUGCUGGAUCCUUAACCCACUGUGCCACAAGAGAACUCCUGAAGUGUACCAUUUUUUAAAAGCACUGAUUUUUACAUACAUAUUCACACAUUGGUUAGCAAUGCAAGUCUCUAUUAAACACACAUGUAAAGGUUCUAAAGACUGAGGGAAAACAAUUAUACAACUACAUGGAAAAAUACCCCUACAAAUUCAUGAUCUUCUAUACCUUAGGCCCUUAACAAGGCCUUUUUUUCCUUCAGUUUCCCUCUUCAGUGACUCCACACUUACCUCCAUUUCUCAUGCCCAACUCACUGUCAUCACACAGCUUUCCAUCCUAUUACUAAGAAAGCUGAGAACUCUAAGAAUUAAUGGUCAGUCUCCUGCUUCCUUCCAUCUAAAGUUUAUCUCCAUUUUUACCCUUUCUAAUCUUCUUCCCACUAAUCCCCAGUAGGCUUACCCCUUGUAGAAAAUCAAAUACUGGGUUUUGGGGUUUUGUUUUCUUUUUUGGUUUCUUUUUUUUUUUUGGCCAUGCCCAUGGUAUGCACAGGUUCCCAGGCCAGGGAUCAAACCAACACCACAGGAGGGAACUGAGUCACAGCAGUGACGUCAGAUCCUUAACCUGCUAGGCCACGAUGGAACUCCUAAAAUUCAGUGCUUUUUUGACCAACAGUCACAUCUUGUGAAGAAACUGGCUCCAUCCAUUAAGCCCUCUAUUCUGUAUCUCAUUUCUCUCAUGCCUUCUGUUAGAUUAUAAACAUUCUCAAAUCUCCCAUUGUGAAAAAAAAAAAAAAUCCUCCUUUGACCCAAGUUCUUCUAAGAUAAUACCCUAUCUUCUAGCUUCUUAUCAUAGCCAAGCUCUGUCUUUUCUCUUUCCAUUCACUCCCAAACCUAUUUAAACUAUGCCAAGACCACUUCACUCAGUGACAGAUGACUCAGUGAUAAAACUUAGUUGACAAAUUUCUAAUCCCUAAUAUAUUUGAACUUUCUAUAUCAUUUAACAGCUGAUAUUUUGAGUAGGUGGUCAAAAUUUUUUUGUUUGAAUAAAGUGGGAAUCAAUGGAGGAAACAGAAGGUCAGGCUCAACAAAUUCAACUUCAGGUAUGUGACAAAAGGAUUUUUAUAACCUCUACAUCAGUCUUUCUCAAACUAGAAUCUUUUAAUCCUUCACCAGGUAUUUUCCUCAUGUUGUGAUUUAUUUCAUUAAUCUAUAUAAUCAAUAUAAGUAUAGUCCUGAUUCUAUAUACUGCCAUGCGAUUCCAAAGCCUCUGCUGUGUUUAGGUUUAUGAUCUUGUUGGCACCAUGUAAUACAGAACCCUGUCUUAGGCAAAUGACAACAGAAAUAGAUAAUAAUUGCUCAUUUUUGGCCAUGUGAAAGCCAAAUGAUACCAGUGAAAGAAUGAACAAAGGUCUCCUCAAAGUUCUAGUAGAGAAAACUGGUCAUUAUAUGUGGAACAUAGCAGUUAGUGUAGACAUGCCAGAGUUAGAAGAACCUAAACUGUAGCAGUCUGUUCUGUAUGUUUUAAGGGGCAAUUUAAUUUGUAAAAAAUAAAAAUCAAGUAGCACAUCGAUAUUAAUUUUAUUUAUAUUUUUCUACAUCUAAUAUAUAAACUUGCAUUUUAUAGUUCUUCAAGAGUUAAAAUCAGAAGGAGUUAAUACCAAAUAUUGUUUUAAGUUACUUUUAUUACAAUGUUAUACUUUAUUGUCAUGUCAUACGGGAAUAUGUAUAUGUGUAUGAUUUUAUUAUAAAAUUCUAAUAAGAAAUAACUGGAGGAGGAACCUCAAAAAUUUUUUUCUUAAGGUCAGCUCUACUCAAUAAAUACACUAAAUUUACCUCCUGUACAUGCAAUUUCUUGCAAUUUCAUGCAAUUUAGGGUCCUUCAUGCAAUUUCUGCAACUAUUUUAGGUCUUUCUCAUAAUCCCAACUCCUCUAGAUUAUUUCAAUAGUAUCUCAAGAGGUCUUUUUACCUCUAAUCUUUACCAUAACAUACACUUUUGUUACAUCUUCCACAUUGCUAUCUCUCAUGAUUAAAAUCUGAUGACUUUUUCAUGCUUAAAAUUCAAUUCCCACAUCCCUUACCCUUCAGAAUAAAAUCUGAACUCAUUAACAUGGUAUAUUAAGGCCUUUUAGAUAUCCAGCCUUGACUUUCAAUGUUUGGCUCUUUUCAUCUUUUCUCAUUCAUUCCCCCUACUACACACACACACACACACACACACACACACACACACACUUGGCUCUUUUCAUCUUUUCUCAUUCAUUCCCUCUACUACACACACACACACACACACACACACACACACACACACACACACUACUGCAGCCAAAGUAUUUCCUGAAGUACCAAAGUACCUUGGAAACUUCCUUUCCAAAGUAAGGUUUGGAACCUUAUAAUUUCUAAAACUUACCUGGUCAAGUACGCAAAGACUUUGUACACUGUUCCUUAUGCCUAAGAGCAUUCCUCCUUUUUUCCUCAUAUGCUGCCUUUUUUCCCUCAUUUGUUUCUCUUCUGCAGAGAAACUUUCCCUGACAGCCCCCAGCUUAACAGGGUACAUUAAUAUUACUCUGUGCAUGCAUUUCUGUCAUUGAACACACCGUAUGGUGAUGGUCUGAUACUUAAUGGUCUCCCCAGUUAAAAAUUUUUCCUAAAGGUGACAUUUGGCUUUCAUUUAUGUAUCUUCAGCAUCUAGCUCAAGGCCUAGCAGGUAACAGGCAUUCAGUAUUUUUAGAAAAUGAACACUUAGGAAGGUGGAAGUGAUUCUAUCAACAGAUCUCUAUUAUGUUACAUUCUUCGGCCUAAACCUGAAGACCACGCUUAGCUUAGUGAGACCUAAAUACUGUUGACUGAUACACUGUAUAACACUCUCUCGGUGUCUUCUUACAUCAAAAGCAGUCCCAUAUUAUAAGUCUGUAUUUUUAAAAAAUGUUUGUAAACAAGUUUUUCAAAGGGCAAAAUGCACUAUUAUAUAUGAUCAAUGUUUCAGUGACUAGAUCUCAAGCUAGCAAGUACAAAAAGGGCAAUUAAGUUCUAUAAAACUCAACUACCAUAAUAGUGGUGGCCUGAAUUCUCUUCUUUAGAGUAGAAGACCUUGUAGUGCCUCGAGUAAAGAGGAAGGAAAAAAAAACGUUUUCUCUUCACUUCCAGUUACCCCAAGGACAGUCUACCUUUCACAUGUUCCUUCCCGCUUCUCUCUGCACAUGUCUCCAUCUAGUCUCCAGUGCCUUUUCUUCCUAAUUAGAGCCCUAUCCAAGCCAGGGGUAGGGGUAGGCAUUGUAGCACCCAGGAUUCUUUUUUGUAUGGGUCUUUCUUUUUUUGGGGGGGGGGCUACACCCGUGGCACAUGGAGGUUCCGAGACUAGGGGUUGAAUUGGAGCUGUAGCCGCCAGCCUACACCACAGCCACAGCAACCAGAUCCAAAUCACAUCGUUAACUUACGCAACAGUUCACCUCAACGCCAGAUCCUUAAACCACUGAGCGAGGCCAGGGAUUGAACCCACGUCCUCAUGGAUGCUAGUCAGAUUCGUUUCUGCUGGGCCUUGAUGGGAACUCCUGUAUGGAUCUUUUUGUAAGCUGGGGAAUCUGUAUCAUACUUUUCUUACUGGGUAUAUAUGAUAAAGCCCAUUCACAUUAUCACUUAAUCAUUAACUUUGAGAUUUAACACACUUUGAUGAUGGAAUCUCUGAAACUGCCAUACUUCUUCAACACCAAAUAAGCCAAGUUCUUUGGUUUUUUUAGAUGUAAUGGAAUGUUUCUUAAUAAGUUUCAUUUUUUUUUUAUGGUGCCAUGUGUUAAAUCACUGUUUCCUUGCAAUGUGAAAAAAUCAACAAGUACCAUAUAGUUAGCUUUAAAAAGCCAGAGCUCCUGCUGUGGUGCAGUGGGUUAAGAAUCUGACUGAGCUCAGGUCACUGCAGAGAUGCAGGCUUGAUCCCCAGUCUGGUGCAGUCGGUUAAAUGAUCCAGCAUUGCUGCAGCUGCAGCAGAGGUUGCAGUGGUGGCUUGGAUUCAAUCCCUGGCCCGGGAACUUCCGUAUGCCAUGGAUGCAGCCAUAAAAUUUUUUUUAAAAAGGGUCGGCGGAGAGAAUAGAGAAACACACACACACACACACACACAAAGCUUCAUCUGAUUUAGGACAUUAGGAAACUACAGUCCAUUCAAUAAAUGGUGCUGGGUAAACUGGAUAUUCACAUGAAAAAAUAUUAAUUUCUAAUUGUACAAACAUUUUCUAAUGGUAAAAUCAUUCAUGCUUUUAGAGAAAAAUGUGCUGUGAUGUCACUGAGGCUCAGAUUCAUAUCCUGGCCUGGAAAUUUCCAUAUCCCUCCGAUGUGGCCAUUAAAAAAAAAAAGCCUCACGUGAGCGGCUCCAUUAAGCCACUUAGAUACUAUAUAGAUCUGACUCUUUAGAAUCACUUUGUAUGUACAACAUUCCCAUAAUCACUAACUUAAUGUUCUUUCAUAGAAUUUUACAUUUAUCAUCACUAUUUUACUAAAGAUUUCUCACAUAUAUUUAAGUAAUCAAACUCAAUAUGGGUAAAACUGAUCAUUUCUGGUAUAAAUCACUUUGUAUCUCUUGUUUACUUUAGAUUUAUUAGACUAUUAUUGAAACAAGAAAGAUCAGCAUUAUUGUUGGGAAGUAAUUUUAAUUUGAAUUCCUUACUUUUAUUAGGUACUUUUAAAGUUAAUUUGUCUACUGGGACCCAGCCCACCCCACAAGUCUAAAUCUACGUCAGCCUACACUUAUAUGAAACAUCUGUCAAGGAACCUAAUAUAUACCAAUCACAAUCUUCUAAGUUAGCUUAGCUAGCUCACCUGCCUCUAGAAAACAGGACCUGCUGCCUCGCAAGGAAAUCCUUGACCUCUUAGGCAAUCAUGCCCUAGUACAUCGUUACAGCUUCUAGAGCACUCUAUAAAACUCACUCUUUCUCAAAAUCCUUCAGGAAGGGAAAGGGAGGUCCGCUGCUUAUGAAGACACUUUACACCCUCAAUCUAUAGAUUGUUUACCCUUGAAUAAUGGACAUCAAACUCAUUACUAAAUGGUUUCAGUGUUGUCAUUUGACAGCACCUAAUCCUCAAAUUUCUUACCUAGAUGAUCUACCUACAAUUUUCUUUCUUUUUUUUUUUAAAGGCCACACCUGUGGCAUAUGGAGGUUCCCAGGCUAGGGGUCAAAUCUGAGCUCAGCUGCCAGCCUACACCACAGCUCACAGCAAUGCUGGAUCUCUGACCCACUGAGUGAGGGCAGGGCUCUAACCCACAUCCUCAUGGAUACUGGUUGGGUUCGUUACUGCUGAGCCACAACAGGAACUCCUCUUUUCUUUUUUUCUUAAUGGCUACAUCUGUGGCAUUCGUUUCUGGGCCAGGGACUGAAUCAAACCCACGCCUCCACAGUGGAUUCUUAACCAACCAUGCUGCAGCAGGAACUCCUCCAAUUUUCAAACUACUUGAAUUUUUGAGAUUUUAAAGAAAUUAUUCUACAUUUAGAACAUCAAAAUCAUGUUUUCUAUUUCUGAUAUAAUUAUGAACUUCAAUUUUCAAUAGAAUACAAUGCUAUUAAAAUUAAUUUUUAAUCAGUUUUAUAAAGCAAAUAAUAUUGAUGAAAAUACCUCCAAAUUUAACACUGACAGCACAUUCUUAUCAUUAUAUUAAAACAAUCUAAAUUAAACUGUUGUUUGUAUUGAAGGAAAACCCUCUUGCUGGCUUCUUUUAAUUCUAUAAUGUAAAUACCAUAUCUCAUUUAUCAUCAGUAACCUGGAAAGUAUGAGACAUUUGAAGAUAUUUAGCAAUAAAGUUCCAGACUGAUCUCACAUACUGGUUCUAAUUCGUUGGUUUUAAAAAAAAUCUACAUUGAGGAGUUCCCAUCGUGGCGCAGUGGUUAACAAAUCCGACUAGGAACCAUGAGGUUGCGGGUUCGGUCCCUGCCCUUGCUCAGUGGGUUAAGGAUCCUGCGUUGCCGUGAGCUGUGGUGUAGGUUGCAGAUGCAGCUUGGAUCCCGCGUUACUGUGGCUCUGGCGUAGGCCAGUGGCUACAAGCUCCGAUUAGACCCCUAGCCUGGGAACUUCCAUAUGCCGCAGGAGCGGCCCAAAGAAAUAGCAAAAAGAAGACCAAAAAAAAAAAAAAAAAAUCUACAUUGAGAUAAUUCACAUACCAUAAUAUUCACUUUUAAUUAAAUACAAUUAAAUGGGUUUUAAUAUAUUCACUGAAUUAUGUAAUCAUUACUAUUAUCUAACUUUAGAAUAUUUCAUCACCUCCUCCUCAAAAGACCCCAUACCCAUUAGUAGUCCACAAUGCAUUCCCCCUGCCAACCAGUAAUCUACUAGUCAUUUCAUACAAAUGAAAUCAUACAAUACAUGGCCUUUGUGUCUGGCUUUUUUCACCUAGAAGAAUAUUUUCAAGCUUCAAGAUACAUGUUGUAGCAAUAUCAGUGUUUGGUUCUUAUUAGCUAAUACCAUUCCAUCAUAGAUACCUCACACUUUAUUUAGCCAUUUAUUAGCUGAUGGACAUUUGGGUCGUUUCCACUUUUUGGCUAUUAUGAAUAAUACUACACUGAACAUUCAUGUAUACAAGUUUUUAUGUGGGAAAUGCUCAAAUUUAUUUUUAGCUUCAUCAUUUGUGCAUGGUUUAUUAUGUGCCAAAAAUCAUCGUAAUUUAAAGUCAAAAUUAUGUUCCUAGCAUGAAAUAAAGUAGUUUCCUAAACCACACUGACUUCUCAUAAAAAAUGAGAUUCUAAACUGAUAAGGUACAGAGACUAAUUUGAUUUUAUGUAAACAAUAGGAAAUAACAUUUGGUUGAGCUGGGCUCCGUAUUACCUAUUCCAAGCAGAAAUUGUAAACACACAUUCUGUGAACUCAUAAUUUUAUAUUAAAUCUGGAUUUAAUUUGAAUUGUAAGUGUUAUGGUUACCAAAGGAGAGAGGGGUUGGGAGAGGGAUAAAUAAGGAGUUUGGGAUAGCACAGGGAACUAUAUUCGAUAGCCUGUAAUAAACCAUGAUGGAAAAGAAUAUGUAUACAUAUGUAUAAGUGAAUCACUAGAAACUAAUACAACAUUGUGGAGUUCCCAUGUGGCUCAGCGAGUUAAGUAAGUAUCUGGAAUUUUCACGACAGUGGCUUGGGUCACUGCUGUGGUGCAAAUUUGAUCCCUGGCCUGGGAAUUCCCUGUGCUGCAGGUGUGGCCAAAAAUUUUAAAAAGGAAAAAGAAACGAACACAAGAUGGUAAAUCGAUUAUUCUUUAGUAAGGAAAAAAAAAUGCUGUGACAACGUUAGAAAGAUUUAAAAAUACAGAUGCAAUAUUAACAAUAUAUGUACUGAUGUAUGUUAACUACAUUUAUUCACAAGUACAUUUUAAUUAACCCCUCUACUCACAAUAUUACAAUAAUGUAGCUUCACUGAUGCAUUCAUAUAACAUUAGGACUUCAUAAUUUGGAUUAAUUAUUCCAUUGUUACUUUUAUGCUAAUUUUUUCAUUCUUUAUAUUUUUCUCAUGUUUUAUGUCAAUUUAUGCAAGAAAAACUGAUCUACGAUAAUUAUAGACUUCUAUUCAAUAAGGAAUGGAUUCGUUUUAGCUCCUAUCUUCAACAUUUUUGUUAUCUUUAAUUUCUGAAUGUAAAUGUUUCAAUAUAUAAAACCAUAACUUCAACAUAUUGCACACUUCAAUAUUUAAAAUGAUUAUUUUCCUACCUUUUUUUCAGAUGGAGACAUUUCUAUCAUCAUAAUUCAAACAGGUCAAUUGCAACUGUAAAGUGGGUUCUCUAUACUACCAGAUAUGUGAAUAGUGUUUUAAAGUUUGAGAUAAUUCUAAACCGCUAUCUAAAACAUCAAAAUACUUCAGGCCAUGGUCCUUUUAAUUUUAAUCUUAGGAAAACUGAGUAGAAAUGUAAGUUUGUCAGUGUAAAUACAAACAAACAGAAAGUGUAUCAACCAGUAAAUUCACUUCAGUGCCAAAUAAAAAUGAAUGUGCUUCCAUUAAGUGUGGAUAAUCCAGAACUUCAUAUAUUAGGAUUUUACAUGCAGUAAUUUCUUGCACAUGACUUUGAUAGUGGCCAAUAUAAAAAAUUGCACCAUUAUAACACAAAGAUUUAAUUUCAGAUAUGAAAAUAUAUUUGUAGGGCAAGGAAAGGCAUGAGUGGAUUUCUUCAUCUUCUAAGCAAAACUCUACUACAACAAAAAUUUCUGUAAAACAAACUAUUUUCCAUUCCCAACAGGUAGCCCACUUAUUUUAAAGGCAGUGUUGGAUAUAAA